rnacentral:rRNA from 1 species
AUUGAACGCUGGCGGCAUGCCUUACACAUGCAAGUCGAACGGCAGCACGGACUUCGGUCUGGUGGCGAGUGGCGAACGGGUGAGUAAUACAUCGGAACGUGCCCAGUAAUGGGGGAUAACGCAGCGAAAGUUGUGCUAAUACCGCAUACGCCCUGAGGGGGAAAGUGGGGGAUCGCAAGACCUCAUGUUAUUGGAGCGGCCGAUGGCUGAUUAGCUAGUUGGUGAGGUAAAGGCUCACCAAGGCGACGAUCAGUAGCUGGUCUGAGAGGACGACCAGCCACACUGGGACUGAGACACGGCCCAGACUCCUACGGGAGGCAGCGGUGGGGAAUUUUGGACAAUGGGCGAAAGCCUGAUCCAGCAAUGCCGCGUGUGCGAAGAAGGCCUUCGGGUUGUAAAGCACUUUUGUCAGGGAAGAAAACUGUUUGGCUAAUACCCGAAUGGGAUGACGGUACCUGAAGAAUAAGUACCGGCUAACUACGUGCCAGCCGCCGCAGUAA